GACGAACGCUGGCGGCGUGCUUAACACAUGCAAGUCGAACGGAAAGGCCCUGCUUUUGUGGGGUGCUCGAGUGGCGAACGGGUGAGUAAAACGUGAGUAACCUGCCCUUGACUUUGGGAUAACUUCAGGAAACUGGGGCUAAUAUCGGAUAGGAGCUCCUGCUGCAUGGUGGGGGUUGGAAAGUGUCGGCGGUGGGGGAUGGACUCGCGGCUUAUGAGCUGGUUGGGGGGGUAGUGGCUUACCAAGGCUUUGACGGGUAGCCGGCCUGAGAGGGUGACCGGCCACCUUGGGACUGAGAUACGCCCCAGAAGCCUACGUGAGGCAGCAGUGGGGAAUAUUGCACAACGGGGGGACGCCUGAUGCAGCAACGCCGCGUGCGGGAUGACGGCCUUCGGGUUGUAAACCGCUUUCGCCUGUGACGAAGCGUGCGUGACGGUAAUGGGUAAAGAAGCACCGGCUAACUACGUG
rnacentral:rRNA from 1 species